CCCUUAGAUGUUCUGGGCCGCACACGCGCUACACUGAAGGAGGCAGCGUGUACUCCUGGAUCGAAAGAUUUGGGUAACCCGCGAAUCUCCUUCGUGCUAGGGAUUGAGGUUUGCAAUUAUCCUUCAUGAACGAGGAAUUCCCAGUAAGUGCAAGUCAUAAGCUUGCGCUGACUACGUCCCUGCCCUUUGUACACACCGCCCGUCGCUACUACCGAUUGAAUGAUUUAAUGAGGACUUCGGACUGGGACCGAUGCGGCUUUCGGGCUGCGUCGGUAUUCUGGAAAGAUGUCCAAACUGUAUCAUUUAGAGGAAGUAAAAGUCGUANCA
rnacentral:rRNA from 1 species